CUACGGAGGAUGCGAGCGUUAUCCGGAUUUAUUGGGUUUAAAGGGUGCGUAGGCGGACGAUUAAGUCAGCUGUGAAAUGCCCGCGCUUAACGCGGGAAGUGCAGUUGAUACUGGGUGUCUUGAGUACAGUAGAGGCAGGCGGAAUUCGUGGGGUAGCGGUGAAAUGCUUAGAUAUCACGAAGAACUCCGAUUGCGAAGGCAGCCUGCUGGACUGUAACUGACGCUGAUGCUCGAAAGUGUGGGUAUCAAACAGGAUUAGAUACCCUGGUAGUCCACACAGUAAACGAUGAAUACUCGCCGUUUGCGAUAUACAGUAAGCGGCCAAGCGAAAGCGUUAAGUAUUCCACCUGGGGAGUACGCCGGCAACGGUGAAACUCAAAGGAAUUGACGG
rnacentral:rRNA from 1 species